CAAUUGCGACUUCUUUUGCCCUAAUCCACACAGCUCUCCGCCGGCAUCACGAAUACGGAGUACUCUCCUUUGUUUUUUACGCCCUGUCCUCUAGAACGUUCCCGAACCCUAGGCGAGAGCCCAUGUCGGGGUCCUACGGAUCCGACGACUACCGCGGCGGCGGCGGCUACGGCGGCCGAGGCGGCGGCGGAGGCGGUCGUGGGCGAGGAGGCGGCGGCGGCGGCAGUGGAGGAGGGUAUGGAGGAGGUGGCAGUGGAGGAGGGUAUGGAGGAGGUGGCAGUGGAGGAGGGUAUGGCGGCGGCGGUGGAGGAUACAGCGGCGGGGGCGGGAGAGGUGGAGGUGGAGGCGGGGGAUUCGGUGGAGGCGGUAGAGGUGGAGGUGGCCGAGCCGGGGGCGGUGGCGGUGGCGGUGGCGGGCGCGGGGGAGGACGCGAAGGCGACUGGGUUUGCCCUGACGCGAGCUGCGGCAACGUGAACUUUGCGAGGAGGACUGAGUGCAACAAGUGUGGGGCGCCUUGUCCAAGUGGAGGUGGAGGAGGAGGCGGCGGCGGCGGCGGCGGGUAUAAUAGGUCUGGUGGAGGUGGUGGAGGCUACAACAGAGAUGGAGGGGAUUACAACUCCAGUGGUGGUGCAGGAGGAGGGGGAAGAGGAGGAUACAAUCGAAGUGGUGGUAGUGAUCAUGGUUUUGAUGACUACCGCGGUGGCAGAGGUGGCAGUUAUGGGGGACGAGACCAGGAGAACAACCAAAGGGGUGAUGAAGGUGGUUACAAGGCCGGUGGCUAUGGACAAACUCCUAAGCAAGGGCCUCCUUCAUACGGUGGGCCUGCUGGUGACUACACAGCGCCUCCUAGCUCCUACGGAGGCAACAAUGCCUAUGGUUCAGAUUCUGCAGUGCCACCUUCUAAUAGCUAUGGCAGUGGUCCAGGCUCAUACCCACCAAGCUACGGUUCCCCACCUCCAAACCCAUCUUCUAAUAGUGGUGGUGCUCCAGGGGGGCAAGGGGGAUUGCCGCCUACAUAUGAUGGUGGGUAUGGUGGUCGGUCCAUGCCUGGGGGUGGAGGUUCUGGUGGUGCACUGCCACCUUAUCAUGGCAGCGGCGGCGGUUAUACUGGUAAUGCUGCCCCUGAGCCUGCUCCAAAGGUUAAGCAGUGUGAUGCAAACUGUGAUGAGACAUGUGAUAACGCAAGGAUUUACAUCUCAAACUUGCCGCCUGAUGCCACUGUUGAGGAAUUACAGGAGCUAUUUGGAGGAAUCGGCAUGGUUGGAAGGAUCAAGCAAAAACGUGGCUACAAGGACCAGUGGCCCUGGAACAUAAAAAUCUAUACUGACGAGUCUGGAAAAGCUAAAGGAGAUGCUUGUCUUGCUUAUGAAGAUCCUUCUGCGGCUCAUUCAGCUGGUGGAUUCUAUAAUGAUUAUGACAUGAGAGGCUAUAAAAUCAGUGUUGUGAUGGCUGAGCAAUCAGCACCCAGAGCACCCUCUUAUGGUCAUGGCGGUGGCCGCGGUGGUGGCUAUGGUGGUGGACGCAGGGAUAAUUUCAGAGAUGGUGGCCAUGGACCUAAUAGAAACCAGGGUGGUGGUUCACGUCCACGACCAUACUGAAAACAGCUAAUAUAAUUACUAAGAUUGUCAUCUGUGAGAAACCAUUUGUAUUCUUGUUCUACGGACGUGUACUCAUACAGGCGCAUAAGGUAGGUUGUCUGCUUUUCUUGGACUUCUGUUCCAUUGUCAUACACCAGUCUUGGUCGGAUGUUUGUUUGUCCUAAAGUCAUUGAUCUAUGUUAUGUGAAUUUUUUCAUAGAGGCAGCUGGAUAUAAGCUCCAAAUGCUCGUAGGUUUGAGAUGUUAUUUCAGCCUUGGCUGCCAUACGAAAGGACGACGUUGUUUGGAAGUGGAUGGAAACAAUCAGGUACAUGCUCAUGCAAGAGAGCUGAUUUGGAUUAGCUUUAGCGCACAUGUGGGCUGUCAUUCUAGCAAUCUAACGUGAUGCAAGGUUGAUGGCUUGAUGCUAAUUUGGAGCCACAGGUUAGAGAGAAAAAUAUUGAGGAAAAAUAGUGAUGGGUUGGAUCAAAAGGAUGCGAGAUGAGAUUGUCCACGGAUGAUUACUGGAUAAUGUUGGGAAAAAUGGAACAAAGAUUUGUCCAACCUUGAAAUUCCUUAACCUAUUCUAAUAUUUUAAAAAUAUAUUUUUCAUCACUCAAAACAAAUUCUUUUUAAACUCUAAUUUUUUUAAAAAAGCUUUCAAAUUUCAGAAAAAAUAUUAUUUUAUUGUUUUAAAAUGCUCAUAACCUAAAAUAUGAAUUUUGGGGUGUGGCAUCUUCCUUUCGUACCAAAGGGGCUAGUGGGCUGCGGCAUCAUGUCGAAUUGACAAAGAUCUUCGGAGAUCGUUGAUGGUUUGGUAAUUACCUUUUAGUGGAACAUUUGUUUUGGCUCCUCUUUUAUUCCUCUAAUAAAAUCGGCAAGUCUCAUGCCGUCCUUUCGAGAGAAAAAUUGAACUGAAAAUUGAUAUUUAGAGGAUCUUUAAUUCAGACAUCUUGUUCUUAUUUUAACCUAAAAACUGAUAUAACUAAUUUAUUUUAUAUUACAAAAUCUAAAUCGUAUACGGAUCUGGGAGCUAAAGCUCGAUCAAACAGGAUCAGAAUCACGUCUCUAUUCGUAUUGAACCCAUUUUUUUAAGGAUAUUGAACCCAAUUUUUAGGAGUACAUUACAUUAUAUUGUCUGUACAUAUCCAUUUUUUUCAGAUAAUGGUCAAGCGUACUUUGCUUCAAUUGCUUUAUGUGCAGUAUGAUACACCAUACAGAAAAUAAACGGACGGUGCGUGACCAACACAGUUUAGCUCCCUGUCAUUCUUCAUUUUGUUCAGCUGAUGGAUCCGCAGAAGCGCUACCUUGUUCAAUCCCUACCUGUUCUUCUACAUCACCAACCUGGGAAUAUAGCAGAACAGAAAAGGUCUGAAGAUGAAAUGGCGUUAUUUCCAUCAGAACAGAAAGUAUCUGGUGUAAUUCGGGGG